rnacentral:rRNA from 1 species
UGGGGAAUCAUGGUCAAUGGGAGAAAUCCUGAAGCAGCAACGCCGCGUGGAGGAUGAAGGGCUUUCAGCUUGUAAACUCCUGUAAAGAAGGAAAAAAUUCCCAUUAGAUGGGAAAUGAUGGUACUUCUAAAGUAAGCCCCGGCUAACUACGUGCCAGCAGCCGCGGUAAUACGUAGGGGGCAAGCGUUGUCCGGAUUUACUGGGUGUAAAGGGUGCUCAGGCGGAUUUGUAAGUCAGAGGUGAAAUCUCACAGCUUAACUGUGAAACUGCCUUUGAUACUGCAAGUCUAGAGUAUGGAAGAGAGUGAUGGAAUGUCUGGUGUAGCAGUGAAAUGCGUAGAUAUCAGAUAGAACACCAAUGGCGAAGGCAGUCACUUGGUCCAUUACUGACGCUAAAGCACGAAAGCGUGGGUAGCAAACA